rnacentral:rRNA from 1 species
GAUGAACGCUGGCGGCGUGCUUAACACAUGCAAGUCGAACGAAGCACUUUAUUUGAUUUCCUUCGGGAUUGAUUAUUUUGUGACUGAGUGGCGGACGGGUGAGUAACGCGUGGGUAACCUGCCUUGUACAGGGGGAUAACAGUUGGAAACGGCUGCUAAUACCGCAUAAGCGCACAGCAUCGCAUGAUGCAGUGUGAAAAACUCCGGUGGUAUAAGAUGGACCCGCGUUGGAUUAGCUAGUUGGUGAGGUAACGGCCCACCAAGGCGACGAUCCAUAGCCGACCUGAGAGGGUGACCGGCCACAUUGGGACUGAGACACGGCCCAAACUCCUACGGGAGGCAGCAGUGGGGAAUAUUGCACAAUGGGCGAAAGCCUGAUGCAGCGACGCCGCGUGAGCGAAGAAGUAUUUCGGUAUGUAAAGCUCUAUCAGCAGGGAAGAUAAUGACGGUACCUGACUAAGAAGCACCGGCUAA